GAUCUUAAAAUAAAUCAAUACUGAUUUUUUUUAUAGAGCGUUAAAGUUUUGCGAAGCCAGGGGGCGGGACUACUUGACUGACAGUCCGGUCUGGAAUGAUUGACAGGUCCUAUGGAGGAGGCAGCAGAGACUCUGCUCUCCUCGUUUGGAUUAAUUCUGAUAUAAUAACUGUUGGUUUAUUUAUCGGUGCAGCAGCAGAACAUUUUCCACAGACAGUUUUCCUGCCCGUUGGCUUGUUUUAACCAGUUUUCUACCUUCGGCUGAUUCUACCAGCAGACACUGAAAGGACUCUGAUAGUUCAAGUGAAAGUAGCAGUUCCUCCUGAAGGUCAGAGAUCGCAGCAUCUGAGGGCCUCUUCAAAAGAAGACGUAGUUGAUGAAGGCGUUCUGGAGCAGGACCAGAAAGACCACGACCAAGCAGCCUUGAGAUCUUAGGCAGCGUCUCCCUCAGGUCCCUCUCUAUCUCCCCACAUCCACCAACCACUGGAACACAUCUCCAAAGUUCUGCUGGACCAGCUCAGCUUCCCCUCAGAAGAAGUGCUGCCACCUGCCAGAUGAAGGAGCCUUUUGAGAGGCAGCUGGCAUCGUGAUUGGACUGUACUUUGGUUUGUUCCAAUCCAGCUUCAGCUCCAGAGACGGCAGGCGGGACGAGUCAACGGAGGCCGGGUGGACAAAGGCAUGAAGCUGAGUACAAUCCAGAAAACAACAGAGGAGGAGUGCAGCGGCCCAGAGCCAGAACAACCAGAGUAGCAUGGUAUGUCUCUUAGAAAACAUCAUAGUAUAGCCUUUGGUAUGAAAAAACACCAUCAUAUACAUCGUAUAUUGUACAAAUAACAAGUCAAAGGAAAGAGACAUACAUUGUAGAAUUGUAGUAAUUGUGGGCUGACUGAUUUACUGAUUAUCAGAAUUUUAUUUUUUACUGAUUUACGGUAAUAAAUACAUUUAAAAAUGG